rnacentral:tRNA from 1 species
GGAGGUAUAGCUCAGUGGUAGAGCAUGUGCUUAGCAUGCACUAGGUCCUGGGUUCAAUCCCCAGGAUCUCCA